GAUUUUUUUUUUUUUUUUUUUAUGCCCUUGACAAUCCUCUAUCUUUCUUUAUCUUUCUUAGAGUACAGAGUAAGCUAACCUCCUUUGCAAAUUGGCCAUGUUUUUUCUUUUACUUUGCAGAUAUGACAUUGUUUUAGAUAUGAUAUGAUAUACAUGCUUCUAAACCUCCUUACAAUGUGAACUUAGGGAAUGGCUUUUGAUAAGGAAUGGAUGAAAAUUAGUCAUCAUUCAUUGCCCGAAUACAGGUAGGGUGCUGAUGGCUUUCUGAACUUUGCAUUUUCAAAUGUCACAGAAGUUCAUGAUACUACCACAAUUAGAUGUCCUUGUGAUAAAUGUCGUAAUCUAAUUUGUAAAAAAAGGAGUGAUGUGAGGUUUGAUUUAUUAAAGUGGGGAUUGUAUGCAAAUUAUACUACCUGGGAACUACAUGGGGAAAUUGUAAACCAUUCUAAUGGUGGUCACAUAAGUGAAAUUAGUGACAUAGAGGGGAUUGGACAUAAUGACAGUGAGGUUAACAUGUUGGAGGAUGCUUUUGGAGUGCCAAGCAUGCAUUUAGGGCGAGAUGAGGCGGAUUCCAAUAACAAUAAUGAGGAACCUAAAGGGGAGGCAGCAAAGUUUUAUCGUUUGUUGAAUGAAUAUCAGGAGCCCCUAACAGUUGGUGGCACUACAAUGUCAAAGUUGUCUUAUAUUGUUAAAUUGUUGCACUUGAAAGUCUUAAAUAAUUGGAGUGAUAGUUUGUUUGAUAGUCUAUUGAAAUUGCAAUGCCAAGCCUGGGGAACUAGCCUUCCAGAUUCUUAUUAUGAGGCAAAAAAACUGAUUACUGAUUUAGGGCUUGAGUGUGUUAAAAUUUAUGCAUGUAAAAAUGAUUGUGUUUUGUAUUGGAAACAAAAUGCAAAGUUAGACAAAUGUCCAACUUGUGAUUUACCUAGGUAUAAAAAUAUUGAUAUUGGGCCUUCAAAAGUUGAAUGUGUUGUGUUAGUUGUAUGAAUGUGUUGUGUUAGGUAUAAAAAUAUUGAUAUUGUGACUUAUAAAGUGACGAUGUAAUGUGUUGUGUUAGUUGUAUGAAUGUUUACAUAUUUUAACUUCAAAUUUAUGUUUUUGGUUAGGAACAUUUAAAAGUUGUUGUUGCACAUGGUGAAUCAAAGACUCAAGAAGAGAUUCUUCUAGAUGUUUUGACACCAAGAUCAGGGUACUUUCGUGGAAAGGGAACUGCCUUGCCUGGCUUCAGCAAAGGAAGACAUCAAUUAGAGCAUCAAAGCUUAAUACGUGAGCAACAAAAGAAAAUUCAGGAGCAACAAGAAUUAAUUAAGGAGUUGCAAGAGAAUCAGGAAAGAACUACCAAACAAUUAGAAGAGACUCAGGAAGCAACAGCAAGACAAUUACAACAACAAAAAGAGGAGACAUAACGUGCAAUGAAUGCAAUGAAGGAAGAAUUACUCAGAGCACUUGGUAAUAGAGUUGCAAGUUAAACAUCAAAUAUUUCCAGGUUAUGUUGGAAAAGUAUUAGUAAAUGCAUGGAGAAAGUGUGCAGAUGAUAUGUAGUAUAGGUUUUAUUUUGCACAAUGACUACUUGUUGGACAUGACUUAGUGGAAAGAUGGUUUACUCUAUUAUGGUUGUACAUUGGUGGGAUGACUAGAAAAUUAGCCUUUUGGAACAAAGAUGGAUGUAAUCUUUUGGGAGAAGUCAUGUUUAAUGUUGACUUAGACUAUUAGAUGUAUAUAUUUAUCUAAUCUUUUGGAUAUAAUCACUUGUGUUAUGUUAAA